AGGCAACCCAUCCCAGGGAGAGAUCAGAGCUCUGUCCAUAGAAUAUGGGCAGGCGGUGAUGGGUAGAGGUCUCAGCUUGGGAGGUCCCACCCAGUGAGGAGAAAUGUCUCAGACAGGCUCCAUUCUGUUGCUGGUGGCUGGCUGGCUGGAAAUUCAAGCCAAUGGGUAUUAUCUUGUGAGGUGCUGUGGAAGUGGGGCCUGCAGACCAAGGCUGCUCUGCCCUCUGGAUUCAGUCCCCUUGCUAGUGUCAUUUCUUUAUAGCUGCAUUGUCUGUGAAGCUGAGUCUACUUAACUGACUUGUGCACACACCAUACUGAAAGAGAUGCCAGCAUACAAGAACUAAAGAGCCUGUCUUUGAAUGUUCAUGACAAAACAAAAGUAGCAAGAAAGCAACAUCAGCAGAACAUACAAAAGUAGCAAAAAAUAAUUGCCAAUCAUUCUGUAACCUUAAAAAAAAUUUACUCAUUGAAAAUAAAAUGAAAAUUCAUCCUUAAAGUUGGCAUAAAAAACAGUGCUAAAAUUUAGUUCCCCAUUGGAAUGAAUGCUUUCUCGACAGGGUAACAAAUGAAAAUUGGAUCAGGGACACAUUUUCAGUGAAAAAGACGCACUGCCAGAUGGCUUCUUGGCAAAGGAAAAGGAAGAGUUGAUUAAACCGUCAUGUGACGACUUCAAAUUCAGCUAAGUACAGCUUAGCAACUUUUUGUUGAGAAGGAGAAAGGAGGAUAUUCAGG
rnacentral:lncRNA from 1 species